rnacentral:rRNA from 1 species
UACGAAGGGGGCUAGCGUUGUUCGGAAUUACUGGGCGUAAAGCGAACGUAGGCGGUGUUCCAUGUCAGAGGUGAAAGCCUGGGGCUCAACUCCAGAAUUGCCUUUGAAACGGGGACGCUUGAGUCCGGGAGAGGAUGGCGGAAUUCCUAGUGUAGAGGUGAAAUUCGUAGAUAUUAGGAAGAACACCGGUGGCGAAGGCGGCCAUCUGGCUCGGUACUGACGCUCAGGUUCGAAAGCGUGGGGAGCAAACAGGG